AAAAGAUCGUGACGUAUAGUAAAUAGGGCGCAUCGUAUCUCGGCCUCGGUAGAUCUCGCACGUGGCAUUCUCGCAAUAAAAGAGCCGAGCAUAAUAUUCCCGUGAUAAACGUAUAGAUGUCAAACGUGUCGAUACUUCGAUACUCUCGCUUUGGAUUACCGCGGAUUCACGUUUCACGUACGCGUCUCGUUUGUUCACAAUGUAACAAAGGAUUCCGAACGCCGAUGGCAACGUAAAAUUAUCGGUUUUAAAUAUAAAAUCGCCCUGUGUAUUUUUUUUUUUUUUUUCAACAUGACGACCGUCCUCGGAACGCAGACCGACAGCGACAGAAGAUUGCUGCGUUUUCAAAAUUACGAGGAGUAUUUGGACUCGCUGGUGACGUCUGCGGACAUCUGCUAUCUCAGGAGCUGCAAGACCGCGCGUCAAUUGGCCGAGCUCGGUUACCGCUGCACCGGCGAGACUCUGAGCGAGGAGGGCUUUUACCGUCGCUUACGGGUCGUGAGAGAUCUACUGUUCCCCGUUCGCCGGCCUUACGAGCUCACGUCGGAGCUCGUGUCGCCCGCCGGUAGGUUAAUGGUGGAGCUCGCCCUGCGCGAGCGAGCCAACAGAUUGAUGACACUGUCGACCAUCGUGUUCGUCCGGCGCUUCAUAACGAGGCUGCAGUUCGAGGAGUCGGCCUACAUCGAUUUCGCCGAUCGGCUCAAAUCGGAAGAUUGGCUGCCGUAUUACCGAGGGGAGAAAAGAUUGUCGCCGCUCAAGCGGGAUCUCGCGUACUAUCACUGGCGCGCGGGGAGGACGUGGUUGAACGAGACCCGUAAUUACGUGCCGAUCAUAGACCCCAAGUGUGGGCUGCUGUUGAAGAAUAUUCACGAUCGACAAGUGAUCACGGUCGAUCCGGCCGCCGCGUCACCCGGUGUGCAGACGACGCGAAUUCGGGUGCGUUGCCCGUUUUACGAGCACGUAAUAUUGUACGAUCACGUGGUCCGAAGCAAAAUUGUGCAGGAAAAUUGAGCACGUCAACAUUAUUACGCUAAUCGGAUUUUCAAGUCAUAAUAUUAAUUUCUAUGAUGGCAUCUUUUCUCUUCCAAGGAAAGAAGAUAGAAAGAAUGAAAUAGGAAAUCCAGGUUACUUACUUCUCUCGUGGGUCGAUGAGGAUUGACCAACUGUCUCACGUUGCCGCAUGUAACCAGCGAGGC